CUCCAUGGUUUUCUUGGACCUGUCAGCAGUGGCAGCCUUCCUUUCUAAAUAUUUAAAUACAUAUUUACUGGCAAAGCUGUCAUCAUCUAACUGGUAUCAGAUUCUUGCAUAAAUACCAUUC
rnacentral:snoRNA from 1 species